rnacentral:tRNA from 1 species
GGGGUUGUAAUUCAGUGGUACAGUGCUUGUCGAGCAGCAUGAGGUCCUGGGUUCAAUUCCCAGCACCACCA